GAUGAAGAACGUAGCGAAAUGCGAUAAGUAAUGUGAAUUGCAGAAUUCAGUGAAUCAUCGAAUCUUUGAACGCACCUUGCGCCCUUUGGCCAUUCCGAAGGGCAUGCCUGUUUGAGUAUCAUGAAUACCUCAACUCUCAUGGCUUGCCAUGAUGAGCUUGGACUUUGGGGGUCUUGCUGGCCUGUGGUCGGCUCCUCUCAAAUGAAUCAGCUUGCCAGUGUUUGGUGGCAUCACAAGUGUGAUAACUAUCUGCGCUCGUGGUUUCCAUCAGAUAACCUCCAGUGAUGGAGGUUCGCUGGAGCUCAUAAAUGUCUCUCCUAAGCUAGGACAGCUCUUUUAAUGUUUGAUCUCAAAUCAGGUAGGACUACCCGCUGAACUUAAGCAUAUCAAUAAGCGGAGGA
rnacentral:misc_RNA from 1 species